GAAAUGACAUGAGGUUUUAUUAAAACAAAAAGUGCUUAAAACGGCCAACAGAUGGCACUCCAUAUGAUAACAAAAGCAACAAUUUGCAUAACAACUGAUUUUUAGCAAAGACUAUGUUCUUUAUAACAAAUGUUCAACAUGUCGGCCGUCAUUCAUCAACAAUACCUGUAGUCGAGGGACAAUGUUAUGAACAGCACUGUACAGCAUAUCUAUUGGGGAGAAAUGAAAAAAAAAAAAAAAAAAAAAAAAAAAAAAAAAAAAAGGCCAACAUAUGGCGCUUCGUGUAUGAAAUGAGCUGUCGUGAAAGAGGGAAUCAAUUGCUUCAUAACUUUUCCUUUUCAAACCUGACCCUCCGGAUGUAUCCUCGCCUCCGGAUGUUUGUCACGGCCUGAUGAGGAUUUAUCACAUCAAUCGCAUGUCAGACACUUUUUCUUCGAGGAAAUGCGUAGUUCUGCUGUCAGUGUGACGCGUGCGAAUUGUUACAGAAUUGCAUCAUCCUUAGUUUGGCUGAUAAAUACCUGUUGGGAGAUAAGACUUUUAUGCAGGAUGGAGCUCCACCCCAGAUUACUAUAUGUGUGAAAGAUCUCUCGCACACAUCGUUUGGUGAGGAUCGCGUGCUGAGCCGCCGCUUCCGUUAUACUUGGUCUCUCAGAUCCCAGAUUUCAAACCGCGUGAUUUUUGGUUGUGGGAUUUCUUGAAAUCGCAAUUCUACCACGAUCAUCCAAUGAUGUUAUGCCAAAAGACAACAUCACAAAGGCAAUUUCUCACCAUACCUACAGAUAUGUUGACAACUGCUGUUCACAAUAUUGUCUGUCGACUACAGCACGUAUGCUCUUUUGGUGAGGCACCAGGUUUCAUACUAUGCUAAAACUCUCAUCAUCACCAAAUUCAAAUUCAACAGGCCCCUCACUCCUCAGGUACACCUCACGGAGUUAACCCAAGAAGCCCUUCGGAGCAGUAAGUCAAACAUCUGUCCUCUGGUGUACAACAAGCUCUGCUAGGGAGAUGCUGAAAAAUUUGAAUAUCUCUCUUGCUGAAGAUGCUUAAAGUUCAACGCUCGUAGUCCGUCGGUAGAAACCACGAAGUCUUUUUCUGUGGGUGUGAGAAGACUCUUUUAUUCUCGCGAUGUCCUGGUUCUCGACGUGACCAGUAAUCAUAAUUCUCUUCAGCAUGGUAUAGCGAUCUGAUGUAUAGAAUCCUGACGUGGAAAGGAUUUAUCGAAGAUUAGAAUGGAAAUAGGAAUCUUGCUGAAUGUGCCAGACAGCAUUUGUGUGAAAUAUCGUAUGGAAUCGUUACAGCCAAGUACCUGACAACAUAGCAGUUACGUUCAUCUCCCAUUAUGCAACUCCAUUCUACUUUGUUAUGUUUAAUCCUCACAUGCCAUGGGUUCGUAUGCCAUAGAUGCCUGUUCAUCGGCUUUAUUAAGCUUAAGAAAAGCACCCAUUAAGGUUUAUGAUUAACUUACAGCAUGUAUGCUGUUUUGGUAGAACCAGGUUUCAUACUACGCCAAAACUCUCAUCAUCACCAAAUUAAAAUUCAACACACCCCGUAUGUCUCCCCAGAAAAAAAGCACUGU